UCCAUGGUGCGGGGAAGGCGGCGGCGGCGGCGGCGGCGGCGACUGCGGCCGGCGGAGGCUGAGGCGGCGGAUCGGCGGCGGCGGCGGCGGCGGCGGCGCGGGCUCGUGUCACCGCCGCGGAGCCGCCGGGACCAAGGUGAUACUACAGGCGCGCUUCUGGAGGGCGCAGCCAGGGGGCGCGCAUCAGCAGCCGCUUUGCUAAUGGGCGCCCCGAGCGCCCUCUUUCCCCUCCUCUUGUUGACCUCAGCUUCCGCCGGAAGUGACCUACGUCAGUUGUUGUCUUCCCGUGCUUGGGCUCGGUGUUGGUGUCUGCGUUGGAUUCUCCGCGGCUGGCCGAGUGAAGUGAGGUCCGGAACGGGAGAGGGUAGCUCGGACUUCAGCCGAGGCAUCGAGAUGGACGUUCUGAAAUCAGAGAUUCUUCGGAAGCGGCAGCUGGUGGAGGACAGGAACCUGUUGGUGGAAAAUAAAAAAUAUUUCAAGCGUAGUGAACUUGCCAAAAAAGAGGAGGAAGCAUAUUUUGAAAGAUGUGGCUACAAGCCUGUAAAUGAGAAGCCAUCUGGAGAGAUACAGCCAAAGGAGGAGGACCAGAAACCAUUAACUUCGUCAAAUCCAGUAUUAGAACUUGAGCUGGCAGAGGAAAAAUUACCGAUGACUCUUUCUAGGCAAGAGGUUAUCAGAAGAUUGCGAGAAAGAGGAGAACCAAUUAGACUUUUUGGAGAAACUGAUUAUGAUGCUUUUCAGCGUUUAAGGAAAAUAGAGAUCCUCACACCUGAAGUUAACAAGGGCUUGAGGAAUGAUCUGAAAGCAGCUUUAGAUAAGAUUGAUCAGCAGUACCUCAAUGAAAUUGUGGGUGGUCAGGAACCUGGAGAGGAAGACACACAGAAUGACUUGAAAGUUCAUGAAGAAAACACCACAAUUGAAGAGUUAGAGGCACUAGGGGAGUCUUUAGGGAAAGGCGAUGAUCAUAAGGACAUGGAUAUCAUCACCAAAUUCCUGAAGUUUCUUCUUGGAGUUUGGGCUAAAGAAUUGAAUGCCAGAGAAGAUUAUGUGAAACGCAGUGUACAGGGUAAAUUGAACAGUGCUACUCAAAAACAGACCGAGUCCUAUCUCAGACCACUUUUCAGAAAGCUGCGUAAAAGGAAUCUUCCUGCUGAUAUUAAAGAAUCAAUAACAGAUAUUAUUAAAUUCAUGUUGCAGAGAGAAUAUGUGAAGGCAAAUGAUGCUUAUCUCCAGAUGGCCAUUGGGAAUGCACCUUGGCCUAUUGGUGUCACUAUGGUUGGGAUCCAUGCUAGAACUGGCAGGGAAAAGAUUUUUUCCAAGCAUGUUGCACAUGUUUUAAAUGAUGAAACUCAGCGGAAGUAUAUUCAGUGUUCCCAAUCAUCUAGCCACUCAGAAAUCACAGCACCAAAUUGCUUCAGAAAUUUGAGCCCUUGGCUCUGCACAUGCCUCCAGGUUCCUGAGUUGCCAGCACCAGCUGAACUGCAUCCAUUCCUUGGAGGUCUGAUUCUAGCUGGGGACAUGUCCUUCCAGUUUGUGAAUGUUAAUCAUCCCAGGCUCUUGCCUUGGUUUCCCAGACAUAAGGACAGCAGCUGCUUCCUGAAGUUAACAUCUCUAUGGUACCUGGUUGUCCCCCUUUUGCCUUUUCUCCUCUUCACUAUCUGGUUGACGUUUACUUACAAUCCUGUCUGGUAAAGUAAUUGAUAUGAUCUAGGUCUCCUUAUACAAGAGGAAACCAGACUAUCAGCUUCUAAGCAGGUGGCAUGAACCCAGGUCCUCUCCAAAAAUAUCCCAAGCUCAGAUGGGUUUGCCACUAGUACUCAACAACUUUACAGAUUGCUCCCUGGAUUGUGUGAUUCUCCCUCCAUGGGGAUAACUAAGAUUAUGGGAAACUAUUGUCUGACGCAUUCUCUGGUCAUGAAGUCCUAUCCUCCCUUCCCCCACUACUUAAUUCCUGCUCUGCUGUUUUCCUCAUGACACUUUGUCCCAUCACUACCAUGUCCUCCUACUUUUUCAGCUUUUCAUCUUCCCUUUUCCUUCUAGUCAAUCUAGACCUCAUUAUCACCGUUUUAGUCAGUCACUCACCAGUACUUUGUGUUGUCCUACGCUGUUGGCCUUCUGCCCACAGCAGAACCCAAGGUGGGACACUCCAACACUCAUUUCCUGGUUAAUGAGUGCCACUAGAGGGAACCCACAACCAAGAGCCCAAUAUCACCUGGACCCUCAUGCUAAUGCUUUGUGACUAUGCUCUAUCCUGACCCUGCACUGCUGCCUCUCUGCCAUCUCCCCGGGAUGGUGGCCUCGCCUACUGUUUCUCACACCAGGUUGAGUAUGGAGGUGAUCGUGGGGUUUGUUUCUACCUCCAAACUUGGCAGCAUCUUUUCUUACCUAGCUAAGAGGAAAAGGUGGUUUUCCACUAUCUUUUUGAUACAUUCAACAAUUUACUUUUUUUUCCCCUCUACUCUAACAUCAAUCACAGAGGGGUAGGGAAUUUGCAUCUGUCUUAUUUGCUACAGACAUGAAGUGUGAGAGAAAUAGAGCAUUCACAGGUGGAUGACCCCAAGACUUGAGGCCCACACACUGGAAGCUGGAGUUGCCUUCACUGAGCAGAGGAAGGCUGGGAGUGCAGCCAGUCUGGAGAGGAAGGCCAGGAGUGCAGUUCUAGGUGUCAGUCUGCAUCCCAGAGCUGACGGGGAGCAGGCAGUGGGACGUACAAGUUUUAGAGAGGAGGCAGGGUGUAGGUGCCAUCAGCGUACAAACAGCAUAUAGAACCAUGAGACCUGAUGGGAGCUACAAGAAGAGGAAUUGUCAGUAAUAAAGAAAGGGAGUCCAAAGACUGAGCCUUCAACAUGCCCAAGUGAAGAAAUCCGGAAGAUGAAGAGCAACUACCAAGGAGAGCCCUGGACUGUGGCAGGAGGGAAAGCAGGAAGAGAAGAAGAAAGCGUUUCAACGAAGCAAGGGGGAUCCAUGGUGUCCAGUAUUGCUGAGCCAUCUGCCAACACCAUGACUGUGAGCCAAAACCCCAACUGCCCUUUGAAUGACAAAUCUGCACCUUGACAUCGUCGGCAGCAGAGGGCGCUGCGAGCACAGCACUGUGGAAAGGCAACCCCAGGAAAGGAGGAUGGAGGUUGGUUUGGAUUUGUGGAUGCUAUUCGGGCUUCAGUUCCCAGCUCACCUGGAAUGGUUGUGGGAGGAGCGUUUCUUGACCUUCUCGUAAGGCUCGUCCAAAGAGGACUCACUCCACAUCUUAGGCUUUAUGGGUGACUUGUCAUAGUCGUUACGGUGAUAGUGCAUUUGCCUGAGUCCCUCCAGGGACUGGGGAGGCGGGGGUCUAUUGUGCGAUGGUGGCCGAGGAGGCAGUCCCUUGUGAGGGGACUGUAAAGGGGAUAUUGUGCUGGUAACCUGAGAAUCAUCUGCAAAAAGACAGAGAGACAAGAACUGAGCACAGGUGGUCCUUUCCAUAGGACCCCCAGCCCAUCCCCAUUCCCCUGUUAGCACUGGGGCCACACAGGCGGAGUCACACCCAUGUCAUGGACAGCCCCUUGAUCCUUCUCCAGCUGCCAAUCUCAAGUUGGGACAAGUUAGCCCAGACCACAGCAAUGAACCCAAACUUCCAAGAGACAUCUAGGGGACUUAAAACAUGCAUGGAAAUAGGGGUUUAUUUUGAAUGCUUCGAAGAUACCUUAUAUCAGUUUUAAUUAGACACGAAUGGAGUGGAGUCUCCAUUUUUUAUCAGAUACCACCCACAAACAGGUUUACUGGUGAUGAGGUUGUCACGUUUCCUGUCAGCAGACAGUAAGGAUCUGCAUUGCUUUGCAGGAGUCUCAGCUUCAUGAGGGUUUUGUCUGAGAAGCUGACACAGAGCGAGUGCUCUGUAAACAGCUGUUGGAGGAAGAGUGAGUGAGCAUGUCAUCUGUCUAGCACCGUCACCUUCCAGUGGAUCUGGGGAGCAACUCUGCUCAUUCCAUGUCAUCAGUAUUGUCUUUAAGCAGUCCUCACAUACUCUGUCUAGAACUGCCUUAGAAUCUUUGGGAAGGAGAUGGACUACACAGAUUAAACAUAGUCAUCCCUUGGUUCCUUUGAGGGACUGAUCCCAGGAUCCCCUCCUUCCCCCUCCCCCCACAAAAUCAGAGGGGAGGGGAGACGGGAGAGAAACAAUUCACUGGGCACCACAGAGGAGAAGCCAGGGGAGGGGGAGGGGGGCACAAAAACCAACCACAGACACCCCUCCAAGCUUCCGCUUGACCCUGCCACAGUCCCAGCCUUGAUGCCUGGACGGCUGCUCUGCUUCCCUUCCCUCUCCUGCUCAGGUCUGGAAAGGAAGCAGCAGGAGAAAGCCUGCAGAGGGACUGUGCGUUACAAAGAGGAGGCCUUACCGCCCCUCAGGUCCAGGGUUCUGGAACAUGGGCAAGAAACUAAUCACGAAUGAGGUCGAAGUCUCCGAAUUGGCACUUGUCCUGACAACUCCGCUAUUACAAAAGCCUCUCACUAAAUUGUUCUCAUUCUAUCUCCUAGACAGACUGGGGUGCACAGAGGCCAAGAACAGCGCUGGGAUCUCUGAGCCCCCAAACUCCCCACCCAUGAAACAAAGCAGCCAUCAAACUAUUACCAUCUGAUUUCUAGGGGCAGCGCCAGACUUUCCCCACAUCAAGAGCGAUCAUUAUUAUUAUUACUGCAAUUACCAUUAUUACUACGACUCGGGUAGGCCUUUUAUGUUUUCCAUCUGCCUAGCCACUUAUCACUGCUUGCCUGAGGUUUCUCUACAGGGGGAAAAAAAUUAACUGCCACUUAGCAUAUUUCCAUAUAACUAAUGCUCUCAUCACCGAGUGUUUGGGUUUACCAUCCACGGGAAUCUUCUCCACGAUGGUUCUGGGUUUGGAGCUCCUGUUUCCCCUCUGUGGAUGGCUGUGAUGGUGGUGAGCUGGGGUGUGGGCUGAGGGAUCAGUUGUUUUUCUACGAAUUGCUCAAGGAGAUAUCCUGGUAACUGCCACAUUUUAAGAUUUUGAUGGGAGGGGCUGGCAUUGUGGCAUGGUCGUUAAGCUGCUGCCUGCAAUGCUGGCAUCCUGUAUCAGCUCUGCUGUCAUCAGCUCCCUGCUAAUGUGCCUGGAAAGCAGUGGAUGACGGCCCACGUGCUAGAGACCCUCCCACCCAUGUGGGAGAUCUGGAUGGAGUUCUGGGCUCCUGGUUUGGGUCUGGAGCAGUCCUGGGGAGUGAACCGGGGGAUGGACAGUCUCUCUGCUUUUCAAAUAAUAAUUCUUUCUUUUAAAAAGAGUUCAAUGGGAUAUAAAGGCAAUUUUCAAGUCCUGAACCAGUGUUUAUUUGUUUUAAAGAUUCAGAGACAGAGAAAGAGAUCUUUCAUCUGCUGGUUUACUCCCCAAAUGCCACAAUGGCUGCGACUGGGCCAGACUGAAGCCCGGAGCCUGGAACUCCAUUGAGGUCUCCCAUGUGGGUGACAUGAGCCCAAGUACGAGGUCAUCCUCUGUCUCUGUGGCUUUUCCAGGGGCAUUAGCAGGGAGUUGGAUUGGAAGCUGCCAGGACUCAGAUGGGCACUCGUAGGGGAUGCUGGUGUUGCAGGCCGUGUCUUACCCAGCUGUGCCCUGGAGCUGGCCUCUGAGGAGGCAUUUAAAGGGACAUCUUGCCUUUCAUUUUUACUACUGUCUCAUCCAGACGCUAUGAGUACUUUCAAGAGGAAAAUACACAUAGUGUUUAGUUAAAAAUGGGUUUUGGCUACUAAAAAAGUAAAGUACCAUUUACUGACUUACUACCUUAAAUCUUACUUCUGGGCCGAGGGAGACACUGAGAUGCCAGUAAAGAGUUUCUGUGGCUCCCACUCCCACCCAAACAGGUGCAUGUCGAGAAACAGAGCGUUUGCAGGGACUCCAGCUGCCACCUUCACUUGGCUCUUUACUUUUACACACAGCUAUCCCCAGACACCACACAGAUUCAUCUCGGUUUAAUCUGGGCUCCAAGUUUUCAGCCAGGAAAGGGCUAACUUACCGUCCUCCAGAACAAGGGCAUCGGAAAGAGAGCUGUCUUCACUGGCAAUGUUUCCAUCUGGGAAGGCAAGGAACAAGUCAGUGACUUUAGCGUGCUCCUUAAACAACGGCUUGUCUGCAAAGUCUCCCAUCCGCAGACCCUUCUCUUUCUCAUCAAGAAGUACUCUUGGCAUACAAUAAGAAUGCUGUUGGGCAUUUCUUUUCAGAGUCUGUGUGGAGGGUCAUUAGCUCACCGCCCCACCCUGACAUUACACAGGGCCCCAGACUUUGUGUAUUUGGGCCCAUUCACAGGAGACUGGAAUGCUGAACAGCUGAAUAUCCAAUACCAAGGUUGCUAAGCCAUGCCAUUGUCCCAGCACAAAUUCGGGGCGUGCACUGACCCAACCAAAGGAAGUUGGCUGCUACUUCUUCCAAAAUGCAAAAACCAGCGCAGGGAACUAAUAAACUUCUUAAGUCACUAGUAGAGUAAACAAGUAUGCUAAGUACGGACUCUCUCUCUGAAGCUUAUUUUUAUAGGUGCCAUUCAGUUAAUGAGGAGGACACGCCCAAGAGAGAGACAGGAAAGCAAUCCUCCCUCUUCAACCAGCAGCUCUGCUUUCCUGGUAAAGCUAGCAAAGGUCCAGAAAUCGUCCCGUUUUUGUGUUUUUACCUCUUGAAAUAAAAUACCAUGCUGAGGAGUUAAGAACCACCUUAACUGCUCCUAAUUCAAGUGAACCCUUGUUGCCAAGAGGCAGCAAAAGAGAGAAGGUGCUGAGUCAUGCCUUGUGUGUGGGGAAUACUCAGAUCCAACGGUGAUCAAGUCCCUUAAAUAUAUUGGCAUUGUAUUUGCAUAUAACCUUUGCAAUCCCCUGUGUAUUUUAAAGCACCUGUAGGUAACUAAUACCUGAUACAACAUCACUGCUAUGUCAAUAGUUGUUCUACUAUGUUGUUGAAAAACUGUACAUACAAAAAAAAAUCUGUACAUGUGGGUACAGAUACAGCUUUUUUUUUUUUCUGAAUAUUUUCCAUCCAACAUUGAUUGAAUCCAUGGAUGUAAAACCUGUGGAUAUGGAGGGCUGAUUGCUUAUUCCUGAGCCUCGGCAGAAUGAUUUGGUACAGAUAAUGAUUUCAGACAGAUUCUGUCAGCAGUCCUAACACAACAGCCCUCACUUAGGCAAAGAAGCUCCCCUUGGCAAACAGGAGACACAGUCACCCACGUGGUCCCCUUCUUGGCUCUGUUGGCCCUGCUCUGCAUUCCUCCUGAGCUGUGAACCCUCCUAUGCUUCCCAGAGCACAGAAGGAGGUCUCAGCCGAGGCACAGGACAGAGAAGGGCUGGCUGGCUGCAGCUCAGCUGGGAAAUUGGGAGGGGAGGAGUUAAGUGGUCUUGACCAAGGACAACAGGGUGUGACAAGCAAACACUGGUAUUUCACGUUUCCUCAAGAAAAGGGAUUUUUUAAAAAUGGUGUCUCUCUCUCUUAUUCAACUAGGAAUUUGUUCCUAUUACUUGAUGGGCUGUGAACAGUGAGGAGACAGAAGGCCCUGACUUUGGCAUUGUGCAGUCUCCAGCACAUCACCGCUUCCUUAGUCUGCCUAUAUUUUUAGCUUGUAGCUACCUGUGGUAAAACAUGUGACAUCAGAUUUUCUACUGUCACCAUGUUUCAGUGUACAGUUCAGUGGCAGUGAGCACUUACCAUCGCCACCACCCAGCUUCUGCGUGGGGAUCACUGCCAUGUUCCCACACUGGAACUCUGCCCCCAACCCCCAGCUCCUGGUCACCUCCCUCUACUUUCUGCCUUCCUAGAGCAAAAGCACCUUAAAUGUGCAGCGUGUACUGUGAAAGAAUACUUGGCAUCUAUUUUCAAGCACAUGCUGACUUCAAUAAAAAGAAUUCUAACAGUGUGA